UGAAGAUAUUCAAAACCCAGCUGGUCACAGCUGUGAGGACCCUUGUUUGAGCACAAGGGUCACAGCAGGGGGUCGCCAGAACCAUCUUCCCACAUAAGCCAAUGCGUACAUCUGUGGAUAAAGCUGGCACUAAAUCCCUUUGAAAAACUGAAAGCUCGUAAGGCACUUGGCAGACCUACACAUUCCCAUGCUGCUAGUACAAGAAAUUACAAGGAAAGACAUUAGAAAUCAAUGUGGAGGUUGCUACAGAUCUACUGCAGUGACCAGGAAGAUCUCCAGCACCAGACAGAUGGGCAGCAAUGCAGAGUAGGCUACACAUUCCCUUGAAGAGGCACUGUCUUUUUAUGUCUGCACCAUCAAAGGUGGGCAUUACUGUAGCACGUAUAGUAAUAAUAAUCCUGCAGUUUGUAUCUUGUGGCUUUAUUGCAGAAUAAUGAAUGUUCAUCAGGCAUUUUCCAGUGUAGACAGAAGGCCACACCUGCUUACUAAAGCUAUAUUAGGGGAUAAUAAUGCUGGGCAGAGAUACUGGGGAAAAAAAAAAAGAAAAAGAGUAUGGGAGAGCACUAAAAUAUCUUUCUAUCUUUGCACAUGCUCUUUAUGACGUCAGAGCAACUUAAAUUCAUGGUAAACUGUAAAGAACCACUUAGAAGUCAAAAUAAUAGCUCUAUAUGGACAAAGAUUUUCUAGCAUUUUUGGUGGCUACUUUUAUACUUGGCUAGUUUUGUUGUUCUAUACUUCAGCACAGACACUGAUAAUUUCGCUAUCUGUAUAGUGCAGUGAGCAACUGAGAGUCAGGACUGCUUGUUGACAUUUAGGUGAAACCUGACUGACUGAGUUUCAAUGUGAACUUAGAUGAGAUCAAUUAAUUAAAUAAUCUUGAAAAUUGC